GCCUGAGUGGCUCAGUCGGUUAAGCAUUUGACUUCGGCUCAGAUCAUGAUCUUGCAGUUCGUGGGUUCGAGCCCCAUGUCGGGCU
rfam:Felis catus isolate Cinnamon breed Abyssinian chromosome C2, whole genome shotgun sequence.